UGAAAAAUUACAAGUUAGUUUUAUUCUAUUUGACAUUUCACUCUAAAAUUGUGUAUAAUAAAAUAUUCAAGGUAUUAUCCUAACCUCACAAAGCUGGAAUUUUGAAGUUAUCCUCAAGCAUGGUGAUUAUCUAAAAAUGAGAUUUGCAAAAGCAGAACAAGACUACCAUUAAGAUCCUGCAGCCAUUAUCUCUCCAUGAACACACCAAUUUCAACAGCUGUUCAGGCAUUUAACUACCCUCCCAAGAACUACAGAAACAAGACAAGGGACAACAGUGCAUUGUUUUAGUAUAACAAUAAAAGACACAUUGAAGAAGGCAAGAAGAAUUUGCUCAUAUCAAUCCUAGGAACAUCCUGGUGGAAGAGUGUGGUGAAGAGAAGCGUCUCAAGACAUCACACCAGGAAGCAGAAAGAGAAAACUCUAUUCAAGAAAUAUAUCCCCAAAGCUACCCCCCAAUGACUCAUCUUCUUCACCCACACCCUUUCAACCUACAGUCACCAGUUAAUCCAUAUUGGAGGAUUAAUGCCUGAUAGGGUUAAGGCUUUCAUAACCCAAUCAUCUCAAUUCUAAACCUUGCAUUGUCUCAUGAAUGAGCUUUAGGGAAAACCUCAUAGCUAAACCAUAACACUUAGUAAUGGUAUCUCUUUUCUCUAGUUGCUACCUAAGUUAUAUAUCCCUAUUUAUUCUUUUUAUUGAUAUUAUAGUUUUCUAAUACCAUAUUAACAUAAUCAUUUGUUUCCUGAUAAGUCUUGAUUAAUAUGAUAAUUGCUACCGGGAAUGGGCUGGUACUCAUGAAAACUCUUGUCUCUAAAGACUUGUAUUUUGAAUUAUGAAUAAUAUUCUGUAGCUAACACCUUAAGCUUUAUAGUUCAGUAUCCUGAUCUCUAAAACACUGUUUAUUCCUCCCAUUUUUAUGACCUUCAGUUCUAACAGCUGUUAAAAUGUUUUAACUAUGUUUCAUUAUGACUCUUGUAGCAAUAGUAACUAAUCCUUGACAGCACAGAUUUAUAAUUCAAAGUAAGAGCCAAACAGCAUAGCUUUAAUUUGUUUUAAAUGCCUGGAUAGUACAGUACUGUAUUGUAUGCUUUGAAGUAAUUAUACACGUGUAGUUUACUAAUGGGCAUAGAAGCACUUAAGUUUGCUUCAUUUAUGAAUUGUAUUUCAGUACUCAUAUUCUUUCAGAUUAGAUGUUGAGAAUUUUGUUAGUUAAAUGUUAAAAUAAUAAACAUUCAAGAAUGAGAAUUUAUUAUUUUCUAUAAUUACAGAAUUAAAUAAUGUUAAAAAUAUAUGCAUUAAAAUGUGAUGUCAAAUGUUGAAUCAUUUUUUAUUCCUGUACAAUUACAUAGCUUUGACUAUUCCAAAAAAAAAUCUAUGAUUUUUAAGUCACUACACAUUUGCUGAAUGUAGGAAUAAAAAUAUAAUAUGCAAAUGGAUUUUAUUUUAGUGAUAGCUAACAUAUCUCUUCAAGUAGCGUUAUUUUGCUUCAUGUUUUGUCUAAUUCUUAUUUUUUAAUGUGUAUUGAUACUCCCCAGGGCUCUCUUCUCUUUUUCUCUUCUGGAGAUUCUCAAGAGGCCUUCAGUGGUUUCGUCUUUCAACAAUGAGCAUUUAGCAGGAUGGUAGUAAAAGCCAUGUGGCUGAAACUGAUUCCAGGCCUCAAGGUUCAUCCUCAAUCAACAGUAUUACCCCUCCAGUUGCUGUCUGAAUUGUUAGAGGACAAAAGGGAAACCAGAAAACCCAAGAGAAAAUUCAAUAGAAUGAAUAAAAUCCAACAGAGCCAAAGAGGGAGCAGAGGAGAACAACAACAACAACUGAUAUAUCAAGGGAGAACAGCAGCCAAUUUGGAUUCCAG